rnacentral:rRNA from 1 species
GACGGAAGGUGCAAGCGUUGCUCGGAAUCACUGGGCUUAAAGGGUGCGUAGGCGGCUUUGCAAGUUGGGUGUGAAAGCCCUCGGCUCAACCGAGGAAUUGCGCUCAAUACUGCCGAGCUCGAGAGAGACAGAGGUAAGCGGAACUAAUGGUGGAGCGGUGAAAUGCGUUGAUAUCAUUAGGAACACCGGUGGCGAAGGCGGCUUACUGGGUCUUUUCUGACGCUGAGGCACGAAAGCCAGGGGAGCGAACGGG